rnacentral:piRNA from 1 species
UCGGAUAUUAGCAAACAUUAA